rnacentral:lncRNA from 1 species
AUCGAAUCUUCUCAUGUGUGUGAUCUCAUAGGUUCGAACCUAAAUUAAUAGCAUAGUAACAACUUUCUAUACUAAUCGAUAUAACCAUCUAGCAAUAUGAUCGGAUGUCCGGAUAGGCCGAAAGAUUGCAAAACAAUAUUCUAGAAUCCACUGGCGUAUGGUUACCGUAUAAUUCAUUCUUUUGAUCCUAAUAUUCAAGAUGACCUAGAGUUUAACUGUCAAUCCUAAAAU